ACCAACAUAUAUGCAAUCUGUAUUGACCAAAAAGUCUUCAGACAGGUCAUAACUGUAUCAGUAACCUCUGGGGAACAUUUAAAAAUUUCCAAUGUCCUACCAUCAUCAGCCAAGCUUCUGAUUUAAUGAAUAUGAGAUGUGAUCUGAGCAUCAGAUUUUUUUCUUUUUAUUUCACCUAAUGUAAUUCAAAGAUGAUUGACACCACUGCAUUAGAGUUGUCUUCUCAACAAUGUGGAUUAAAGAGGCAAACAAACCGUAGGUGGGUGGAUUUGUGCCUUCCUGAACCAAACCUAUGUUAAGUGUUUGACUCGGAGAUAUAUCUAAAUAAAUGAGGGCAAGCUACAAUUGCUAAUUGAGAAGUAAAGUCUAAGACACUGACUAAUACAGAUAAGUUUAAACCACAGAAAACAUCAAAACCUAGCCUGGCUUUGUUUAGUAUGUGUCAUAACUUGGAGAUUCAAAGGAUCUUUGCUUUUUAGCUUCCAAGUGAAAGGGUUUGUUUAUGGUGUCUACAAAGCACAGGAUUUUCUCCCUUCUCUGACAUAUGAUCUUUCUUUGUGGAGAAAGGGUCUUUUAUACUCUGGUGGUGCCAGCAUUACCCAGGGCGGCAAACUUUCAGCAAGGCAAUUUGAAAUGUAUCUGAAAAAAUUCUUCAUGAAUAAAGUUUGACUAAUUUAAAAUUUUUUCCUAAAUUUUUAAUAUUAUUUUACGAUGAUUGUGUUCUCCAAUGAGAAAAAAAGCAUUGUUAUAGUUAGGUACUCUUCCUAAUAUAUACUUUUGAUCUUUCUAACUAUACUAUAAGUUCCAUAAUGGUGGGGAUCUUUUAUGUCUUGGUAACAUCCCAGCCCCCUUUAUCCACAUUGUGAGUUAUCACUCCAUACACCUUCAUCAUAGUCAUAAUGAUUUGGAGUUAUUUCUUACAAAGAAUAUUUAUUCCCAGGCCAUUCCUCCAAUUCUUAUCUAAAGUCUCAAGAGAAGUAAUUCUAGGAACAUUGAAGAGUCUUCAGAUCGCACAAGGGUAAAAUCAGCUUCAUAUCAGACAGCACAACAGUUGUACAUUUCCAAACUGAUUUGGAGGAUGAUACAUUCAGAUUCUCAGAGGAAGCCUAUAAAACAAAUAUUCGUUGAGCAUCUAAUCCAGUCUAUGAGCCUUGCCUGAAGGAGAUGGGAAAAAAAUGACACGGCUUCAACCUCAGAGGGUCUACAGAAAAGUCCCAGCCAGCAGAGGAUAGAAGCAGCUGGAUGUCAGGAAGAAUCAGCUGGAUGUUGGAGAGAAGCAGCUUGACUCCAGAGAUGGCAACUGGACAUCAAAGAGAGGCAGUUUGACUUCAGGGGAGAGCGACCUUCCCUUCCCAUCCCUUUUUCAGCUCCCCUCUCUGCUGAGAGUUGUCUUCAUUACUCAGUAAAAUUCUCCACAUUCACCACCCUCCAAUUUAUCCAUGUGACCUCAUUCCUCUUGGCCACUAGACAGGAAUUUGGGAUGCAGUAGGUGGACUAAGAAGUAGAAUUUAUUCAGGGAAGUGGUUAUUGCUGAUGGAGAAGGGAUACACAAAUGACUUCAAAGUAAUGAUGGAUGCUACUUCAAUCAUGAAUUUUGAAUAAAAGCCACUUAGCUUUAUAACUAAAUUUGCUGUAAUGUUGUCUUGUGACAUUAUCUUGCUUUCACUUUUCUUUGCACACAGUAGGUGUUCAAUACAUAGCUAAAGAAUUAAAAAACAACACAAAAGAAAAAAUAAU
rnacentral:lncRNA from 1 species